CUUGAUUCCUACGCAGACCUUGGUAGUCAAUUUGCCAAACUUAAUUAUCCUUCUCUCUCUAUUUCACGUUUUCUUCCAUUGCCGUACGAGAAAUAAGUCAUAAUUCUGAGAAUAAUAAAGGAAAAGAAAAGGAAAGUGGAAAUGGCUAUCGGUGACUAUCCGGCAGAGUACAAUCCAAAGAUCCAUGGGCCCUACGAUCCAGCCCGAUUUUACGGGAAGGCUGAUGCUCCGUUCGGUCAGGUAAAACUUGGCGAUUUGGGCGCUUGGUUUGGACGACGAGACAAAAAUCCUCGUGCCAUAGCAGGAGUUUUCAGUCGCGCUUUUUGGAGAUGGCAGCACAAGUAUAUGCAGCCGAAGCGAACGGGAAUUGCUCCGUUUUUUCAAGUCAUCGUCGGAGGAAUGGUGUUCUUCUAUACCAUAAACUAUGGAAAACUGAAGCAUCACCGCAACUACAAAUACCACUAAAUGUUGGCAAAUCGUCUGCACGAUGGUUAUCAUUACAUAAAUGCUAGGUGUUGUAUGCAAGAAGAUCAUCGCUAUUAAUGGAGUGUAGUUCACUUAGCGACAUAUAACCUGUAGUGAAGGAUAAAAAUGAAACAUUCAAUCUAUGCAAAUUAUGUAAUGAUGAAAAAUCAAUAAAUGUAUGUUUGUUUGGCAGAUCUAA